GUCAGGACCCUGCAACGUGAGCCCCCUCUCAGUGUCACCUAAGGGCAGCCGCGCACAUCUCUGCACAAAUCAAUGACUCCAGACCUUAAUAUUCCCCUCCUCUCCCUCUAUACCCCCGUCCCUGUCCCUUGCAGACUUGCCCUUUCCCGGUGAGCUCAUAUUUAAUUACCUUAAUGUUGGAAUGAAUAAAUAAUGGAUUGAUGAAUAGCUUAUGGAACGCGAUAAAUAAUACAAGAUCAGAGCAGGGCUCCGGGCUGCAGCCUCUGGAAGAGCGGCUUCUCCCCGGCUGACUUCAGCUCUAGGAGCCUAAUUCCCUCUACCAUUCUUCCUUUGCCCCCACUGCCCUCCAAAGGGCACAAGUAUUCCCAGCUGGAUAGCGCUUCCCUCGUUUUCAAAAGGCCACGACUAUUUGGGACCUUGGGAAGAGCUGUUGACAGCAUUGUUGCUGAGCAAAUAAAGAUUCUGAGGGUUCAUUUGUGAUUUGGUAUCUUAACGUUCUAUGGUUUGAGCCGGCAGGCUUCUGGACUCAGUUUCCCCAUCUGCGCCGUUGCGUUUUCCGAGGCCACCUCUGCUACUGAGGAAUGCCCAGAAGCUUUACUUGCUAUUAGCAAAAAUGCUUUGGGAACCUCGUACGAAAGGCGCUGGAUGGGGUGUAAAUUAAAUAAAACUGUGUCCGGCUCCAAUAGCUGUCUGAUUGUAACCUAAUCCUUGCCCUGCUCUGAGAGGGACACUGCCCUCAGAGCCAGGACGACAGCGGCUCCAAGAAGAUUAAAUAAAGAGGUGUGUGUGUGUGUGUGUGUGUGUGUGUGUGUGUGUGUGUGUGUGUGUAGAUUGCAAUGCUGGCCUAUUUUACUGCGAUAGAAUGAGAGAUGUCCUGCAAUUUCAGCCCCAUCAUCUGUUAUUUUGUGUAUAUGUGGAGAAUGUUUAGUAAAACUGCACAAACAAAUAAAGCUGUAAUUAUCUUAAGCCUCAUUUGCACACCUUGUUCCAAAGCAAUUAUUAAAAAGAUUUUGAAAACAAUUAGCGUCUCUAAACAAAGAUAAUCUAUUGUCAGUAGCUGAGACUGGCAGGAGAUAAGAACAAUGCUGGGAGAUAAGGAGAGCAGAAUGGUGGAAGGAGAGUGACUUUAUAACUAUACUUAUCUCUGAUUAGAUAAGUUCAAAACAGAAUUUUAAGUACACUUCAAAAAUGCUUUUGAUUUAAAUGCACCCUCUUAGUGAAUGUGAAGAACAGACUCUAGGCUCUUUAAACUUGCUUGUCUUCUUUAAAUAUGUUUUGAGUCCACGAGCCAGAGCCCAGCUCCACAGAACCAUUUACAUAUUGAGACAUAAGUGGGAGAAGGAACACCGCGGAAGUUUCCCCCUAUGUAAUGUAUAUGGUUUUAAAAUAAUGUGCCCAGUUCAGUGCACCCCGCAAUAUAUAUUUUAAACUCAUGAAGCGUUUCACCCUCCUGGCUGUCUCUCCAGAGAUUCGGAGUAGAGAGAAGCUGCUUCUCCCCCAAACUCCCACACACAAUGCAUUUUGCAUCCUUAAAAGUCUGCAGUAUCCCGUGCAAUUAGACGUUGGAAAUAGAUGCUGACAUUUCAUUACCUUUAGGGUUAUUUUUUAAAUGCAUUUAAUGGGUGCAUAGUAUUUCAAAAGAGCCCCUACCACAUGGUGCGCCCAAUGACUUACUUUCUAAACUGGAAGCCUGGCACGCCUGAGCCCAAGCCCAUGUGUCUGGUAAUUUUCCCUCGCCGUCUUAUUUUAGUGCUCAUGAUGUUUCAGAUGAAGUCUUAAGGAGCUGCAGUGUCCUGCCAGAAGGAACGUCUCUGCUUGGAAUAGUCCUUAUUGACAUGGCAGCUGUGUGAAGACCGGAACGGAGGUUUAAACUCCGCUCUAAACAUCAGUUAAUACCCUCAAGUCUGGAGCAAGUGCGCAGAAUUAAAAUGUGUGUGUAGGGGGUGGAGGGUCUGUAAGCACAGCCGCCUGUCUUUAAAGACAAACGGUAACCGCCACGCGCGCACAACUGGUUUAUGGAAAAGGCCAAUGCACUAGUUGCUGGUGGGAUUUCUCGGCGGGAUCGAUAUAAGGCCUCAGCUCAAAAAUUUCUGUGUGGAACCCACUUGUUUCUCUUAUGGCUUGGAGAGAGAUGCACUGGGUCUCCCGGCCCUGCUUUCUCGGAAUUCCUUUGCCUUCAAGAACCACAGCGGGGAUCCUACUCUACCUACAGAUACUUGGAAGGAAAGAGCAUCGAGAGGUGCUUCUUCAAUAAAUUAGCGUCGUCGCCCUAGGGCAGUGAGGAGACUCCCCAAA